rnacentral:tRNA from 1 species
AUUUUUAUAGCUUAUAAAGAGUGUGUUAGUGAAGUUAACAAGGAAAUUCAUGUUUAAAAAUA